AUGAAGACUGGAGUGAGCCCUCAUCAGCCAGAUGGACUGUUUCAUCUCUUCCGAAAUAGAAACCUCCAACCUACUCAGCCCUUUUGAGGCCAAAAAGAUACCCAUGGGCCCUCAAAAACCAACAGUCUCUACACCAGACUAAAACAAGUUUCCUAAAAGCAUUUUCCUUUUGGGCUCAUUUUUAUUACCUCUCCAUCCCAUGGUCCGAAGAUAAGAAUAAUUUGCAUAUAACAGUCAGUAUUAAAAUUUUUGAUUUGCAAUGGAUCAAUGAAUGACGAGGUCAGCCCAUCUGUGACUGAACCAAUCAAUGAAUGAGAAAUGGAAACUGUUGGGGGGAAUGCACUUCUACUUAGAGGCAGAUAUGGCGAAGCAAACCAAAGAUCUUGUGUCUCUCUCUGAUGGAGAUAUUUAAUUGCUGGCAUCAUGCUUCCCAGUCUGUUCUUCCUGUCUGAGCAAAUUUGGAAGCCCAAGCUACCAUGGAGCUAUCAUAUGGACCUCCCAGACUGUGUGAGCAAGAAAUAAACCUUGGUUGAGAUAAGCCGUUCAGACCAUUGCAAAUCAGAAAACAGACUUUGAGGAUUAAAAAUAUAAUAAGUGAAAUAGAUGCCUCCAGACAUCGCAUUACAAAGUCUUCUUAUUUCUUGCAGCAGGAAAUGUCAAGACACAGACAAGCAACUACUCAAAGGCCACAUGGCUGGUAAAUGGCAACAUCAGACCACACACCCAGUAGUUUGGCUUAAGAGCAUGCCGAUAACAUCACGCUGUAAUAUCUUUCCAACAACCCAUUUGCGAUAUUUAUCAUGAGCGGUAGGGGAUGAAGAGGUAUGUGCUUGAAAGGCAAUCAGGAUCUACUUUGGAGGAAACUCAAACUAAGACAAGUUGCUGCUGGUGCUGGGGCCCGAGGAGGUCCGCGCCGGAGGAGGGCCACAGGGACUGAGCGAGUGACAGACGCACCACCCGUCAAUGCUGCAACCCUGUAAGGCCUCCAUGGACUCUCUACGUGAGUGUAGAAUGAAUCAAGCCGACUCAAACACAGCAGCUAUUCCACAUGCAGUGGAAGAUAUUCAAGGAGACGACAGAUGGAUAUCUCAGCACAACAGAUUUGUCCUGGAUGACUUUGAGCUUCUUGAACAUAGAGACUGGGUUACAUUCAUCAUUGUAAAUCUGGGGUCCACCUCAAUGACGAGCACAUGAGAGGCAUUGGAUAAAUACUUCCUGAAGCAUCACUUUAGAGAGAAUAACUCACAAGCCCUGAAGUCCUGCAUUUGGUUUGGCUCAUUGAAAAACUACUCAGAGGAAUUUGACAACGACAUUAGGUGUCUCCAUCACAGCUUUAUGGAACAGUUAAUGUGAGCUCGCUUUCAAGUCAGAAUCUAAAAGUCCAGGUGCAUCUUAACUCUGAACCUUUGAAGUUUACUCAUCCUCAUUUAAUGUGAUAAUGUAAUCUAUAUGUUCAGAAUCCAUUUGAGGGGCAGUACAGGGAAAAUGGCAUGCAGAAGGAAAGAUGAACUGCUCUCAGGGGUGAAAUCUAUCUCACACGUGCAUUUAUCUUGGGCAGACACUGUUGUUUAAACUAAAGAUAAUCACAGGCAGUUCUGUGACAUUAACCUGCUUAGUUACUCCUGAAUAAAACCAGGAAUG
rnacentral:lncRNA from 10 species